rnacentral:rRNA from 1 species
CAGUAGCCGCGGUAAUACGAAGGGUGCAAGCGUUACUCGGAAUUACUGGGCGUAAAGCGUGCGUAGGUGGUGGUUUAAGUCCGUUGUGAAAGCCCUGGGCUCAACCUGGGAAUUGCAGUGGAUACUGGAUCACUAGAGUGUGGUAGAGGAUAGUGGAACUUCCGGUGUAGCAGUGAAAUGCGUAGAGAUCGGAAGGAACAUCUGUGGCGAAGGCGACUAUCUGGGCCAACACUGACACUGAGGCACGAAAGCGUGGGGAGCAAACAGGAUUAGAGACCCGUGUAGUCCCUGUCUCUUAUAC